rnacentral:lncRNA from 10 species
CUGGGCCUCGCACCUCGCGCCCGGAUGCCGCUCUCUCCCCGCGCGGUCACCCGUUCCCUGGGAAGCAGAGUGGGCAGCUGUGGCAGAUGGGACUGAUGGGACGAGGACGACGCGUGGAAAUGACUGUGAGGGUGGACAGAGGCCUGGGGGUCUGGAUCUGUCACCAAGGCUGGAGUGCCAGGGCACCACCAUAGCUCACUGCAGCCUCGCUCUCCCAGGCUUAAGUGAUCCUCCUGCUUCAGCUCCUGGAGUAGCUGGGAUUACAGGUUUGUGCCACCAUGCCCAGCUAACUGUUGUUAUUUUUUUGUAGAGAUGGGGUCUCACUAUGUUUCCCAGGCUAGGCUCCAGUGAUCCGCCCUCAUUGGCCCCCCAAAGUGCUAGGAUUAUAGGCAUGAGCCACCUUGCUGGCGUAAAUUAUCCUUAAUAUACAAACACACACACACACACGUAUGUACACACACAUUAUGUAAUAUCGGUAUGUUUUAAAUGUUUACAUAUAUGUAUCACAUCUUGUUUUUUCACUCAUAAUUAUCUUUCAAAUUAAUCCAUUAAUAAAUUCUAUCGCAUGAAUAAAAAAAAUCUAAUUUUCCAGUCUUAGAGUAAACAUCAACGGAAAAGCCUCACUGUGGUCCUGUAUACCUUGUUGGCUGUCCCAUUUCACACGCCCCUUGGAGCCAAACUUCUCACGCGUUUUCUCCAUGAGCAGUUUCUACCUCCUCACCUCCUGUUUAUUCUAUCCGCACUCCAACCUGGCUUCCACUGUCACCAAGGGAUUGAAACUGCUGGACGAGGCUACAGCAACUCCCACAUUAC